ensembl:lncRNA
AUGGGGAAAAGACUGUCUGGUCUUUUGGUGCUGGGAAAACUGGACAGCUACAUGCAAAAGAAGGAGACUGGACCAAUCUCUUACCAUACACAAAAAUACUCAAAGUGGAUUACAGACUUAAAUGUGAGACCAGAAACCAUAAAACUAAAAGAAAACAUAUGCAAUAUUUUUUUUAAAUGUUUACUCUUGAGAGACAAAGAGAACAUGAGUAGGGGCAGAGGAGAGAGGGGAGGGAGAGAGGGGAGGGAGAGAGGGGAGGGAGGAGAGAGAGGGGAGGGAGAGAGGGGAGGGAGGGAGGAGGGAGGGAGAGGGAGGGAUGAGGGAGGGAGGGAGAGGGAGGAGAGGGAGGGAAGGAGAGGGAGGGAAGGAGGAAGGGACAGGGGAGGGAGAGGGAGGGAGGGAGGGAGAGGGAGGGAGAGGGAGGGAGAGGGAGGGAGAGGGAGAGGGAGGGAGGAGGGAGGGAGGAGGGAGGGAGAGGGAGGGAGAGGAGGGAGAGGGAGGGAGAGGGAGGGAGAGAGGGGAGGGAGAUGGAGGGAGGGAGGGAGGGAAGGAGAGGGAGGGGGAGGGAGAGGGAGGGGGAGGGAGAGAGAGGGAGGGGAGGGAGGGAGAGAGAGAGAGGGGAGGGAGGGAGGGAGGAGAGGGGAGGGAGGGAGGGAGGAGGGAGGGAGGGAGGGAGGGAGGAGAGAGAGGGGAGGGAGGGAGGGAGAGGGAGGGAGAGGGAUGGAGGGAGGGAGAGAGAGAGAGGGGAGGGAGGAGGGAGGGAGGGAGGGAGAGGGAGGAGGGAGGGAGGGGGAGGGAGAGGGAGGGAGGGGAGGGGAGGGAGGGAGGGAAGAGGGAGGGAGGGCGGGAGGGGAGAGGGAGGGAGAGGGAGGAGAGGGAGGGAGAAGGAGAGGGGAGGGGAGGAGGGAGGGAGAGGGAGGGCGAGGGAGGGAGGGAGAGGGAGGAGAGGGAGGGAGGGAGAAGGAGGGAGAGGAGGGAGGGAGAGAGGGGAGGGAGGGCGAGGGAGGGAGGGAGCGGGAGGGGAGAGGGAGGGAGGGAGAGGGAGGGAGGGAGGGAGGAGGAGGGAGGGAGGGCGAGGGAGGGAGGGAGAGGGGAGGGAGGGGAGGGAGGGAGAGGGAGGGAUGGAGGGAGGGAGGAGGGAGGGAGAGGGAGGGAGAGGGAGAGGGAGAGGGAGAGGGAGGGAGAAAGACAGAGAAUACAAAGCAGGCUCCAGGCUCUAAGCUAUCAGCACAGAGACCAACACAGGGCUCGAACUCACAAACUGAGAUCAUGACCUGA